rnacentral:rRNA from 1 species
UACGGGGGGGGCAAGCGUUGUUCGGAAUUACUGGGCGUAAAGGGCUCGUAGGCGGCCAACUAAGUCAGACGUGAAAUCCCUCGGCUUAACCGGGGAACUGCGUCUGAUACUGGAUGGCUUGAGUUUGGGAGAGGGAUGCGGAAUUCCAGGUGUAGCGGUGAAAUGCGUAGAUAUCUGGAGGAACACCGGUGGCGAAGGCGGCAUCCUGGACCAAUACUGACGCUGAGGCACGAAAGCGUGGGGAGCAAACAGG